UUUGAAGUUCCGCCUGAUUUAGGUUUUAUGUGUGACGGAUUUUAGUUUAUGGUUUUGUCUCAGGGUCUGGAGACUAUCGUGCUGAUAACGUGUUGUAAAAGAAGGGUUUGAGACUGAAUAUUUCGUGUGUGUUAUUAAUGAACAAAGGGGGUUCCUUAUAUAAGGAUUACAAGAUAGAGAUAAAUGGAAAGAGUACUUAUCCUAAUCCUACAUGAAAUAGGAAAUCUACUAAAUACAUAAAAGGAAAGAUAACAUCUACAAGGAAAAGGAAAAAGGUUUUCCUUUUUCUCCAAGUCUUGUGGUCGCCUCUCUCCUCCUGAAGUCGGCUCUCUCUCUCUCUCUCCUGGGCCUGGUCAUGGCCAUUCUUCUUUCUUCUUGUCUUGGUUAAUGGCAAUCCACACAUGGUUUAAUGGAUGGGUCGCCCGGUUUUUCGGUGAUGGCCGGGUCGUCCACAUGUUUUAUUAAGUGCUCAAAGCAAGAUUUUGUUCAUUAGCAUGGGAUAACAUCAUAGAUUUCGAUCCUAUUAAUCGAUCGGAGUAAUGAGGGGACAGUCGGGGCAUUCAGUAUUUUAAAGGUGAAAUUUUGGAUUUAUGAAAGGGCACAUUUGCCAAGGAUGUUUUCAUUAAUCAAGAACGAAAGUUGGGGGCUCAAGACGAUCAGAUACCGUCCCUAGUCUCAACCAUAAACGAUGCCGACCAGGGAUCAGCGGAUGUUGCUUUUAGGACUCGCUGGCACCUUAUGAGAAAUCAAAGUUUUUGGGUUCCGGGGAGUAUGGUCGCAAGGCUGAAACUUAAAGGAAUUGACGGAAGGGCACCACCACCAGGAGUGGAGCCUGCGGCUUAAUUUGACUCAACACGGGAAACUUACCAGGUCCAGACAUAGUAAGGAUUGACAGACUGAGAGCUCUUUCUUGAUUCUAUGGGUGGUGGUGCAUGGCCGUUCUUAGUUGGUGGAGCGAUUUGUCUGGUUAAUUCCGUUAACGAACGAGACCUCAGCCUGCUAACUAGCUACGUGGAGGCAUCCCUUCACGGCCGGCUUCUUAGAGGGACUAUGGCCGUUUAGGCCAAGGAAGUUUGAGGCAAUAACAGGUCUGUGAUGCCCUUAGAUGUUCUGGGUCGCGACGCGCGCUACACUGAUGUAUUCAACGAAGUUCACACCUUGGCCGACAGGCCCGGUAAUCUUUGAAAUUUCAUCGUGAUGGGGAUAGAUCAUUGCAAUUGUUGGUCUUCAACGAGGAAUUUCUAGUAAGCGAGUCAUCAGCUCGCGUUGACUACGCCCCCGCCCUUUGUACACACCGCCCGCCGCUUCCUACCGAUUGAAUGAUCCGUGAAGUGUUCGGAUCGCGGCGGCGUGGGUGGUGGUUCGCCGUCUGCGCGACGUCGCGAGAAGUCCACUAAACCUUAUCAUUUAGAGGAAGGAGAAGUCAGAACAAGGUUUCCGUAGGUGAACCUGCGGAAG
rnacentral:rRNA from 1 species